GCCUCGAUGGUGUAGUGGUAGAGCACGCUUUCCCGAUAUGAAUGACGCGGGUUCGAUUCCCGCCUGAGGCC